GAUGAACGCUGGCGGCGUGCCUAAUACAUGCAAGUCGAGCGAACGGACGAGAAGCUUGCUUCUCUGAUGUUAGCGGCGGACGGGUGAGUAACACGUGGAUAACCUACCUAUAAGACUGGGAUAACUUCGGGAAACCGGAGCUAAUACCGGAUGAUAUUUUGAACCGCAUGGUUCAAAAGUGAAAGACGGUCUUGCUGUCACUUAUAGAUGGAUCCGCGCUGCAUUAGCUAGUUGGUAAGGUAACGGCUUACCAAGGCAACGAUGCAUAGCCGACCUGAGAGGGUGAUCGGCCACACUGGAACUGAGACACGGUCCAGACUCCUACGGGAGGCAGCAGUAGGGAAUCUUCCGCAAUGGGCGAAAGCCUGACGGAGCAACGCCGCGUGAGUGAUGAAGGUCUUCGGAUCGUAAAACUCCGUUAUUAGGGAAGAACAUAUGUGUAAGUAACUGUGCACAUCUCGACGGUACCUAAUCAGAAAGCCACGGCUAACUACGUG
rnacentral:rRNA from 1 species